rnacentral:tRNA from 1 species
GGGAUUGUGGCUCAGUGGUAGAGCCUCGCCUUCCACGUGAGAGGCCCUGGGUUUGAUCCUCAGCACCA